GAUGAAGAACGUAGUGAAAUGCGAUAAGUAAUGUGAAUUGCAGAAUUCAGUAAAUCAUCGAAUCUUUGAACGCACAUUGCGCCCGUCAGUAUUCUGGCGGGCAUGCCUGUUCGAGCGUCAUUACGCCCCUCAAGUCCCCUGUGGACUUGGUGUUGGGGAUCGGCGAGGCUGGUUUUCCAGCACAGCCGUCCCUUAAAUUAAUUGGCGGUCUCGCCGUGGCCCUCCUCUGCGCAGUAGUAAAACACUCGCAACAGGAGCCCGGCGCGGUCCACUGCCGUAAAACCCCCCAACUUUUUAUAGUUGACCUCGAAUCAGGUAGGACUACCCGCUGAACUUAAGCAUAUCAAUAAGCGGAGGA
rnacentral:misc_RNA from 1 species